GAAGACCCUGAUGUAUCGUAUGUGAAAUUUAAUUUCAAGACCAUCUCUGUUCCCCGUUCCGGACGAGUGGAGGUCAUUUAUAAAUAUCAGGAAGAGUGAAGAUCCCAGAACAGAUCCCUGAGGCACAACACUGAUUUCCGACCUCCAUGCAGAAUAUGACCCGUCUACAGCCACGAUGGAAAACCACUUCUAUUGGCAAGCCAGUUCUGGAUCCACAAAGUUGAGGGGUAAUAACCGUUCCUGAACCUGGUGGUGUGAGUACUGAAGCUCCUGUACCUCAUUCCUGAUGUUUGAGUGGUAAUAACCGUUCCUGAACCUGGUGAUGAAAGCGCGAUGUGUUUCCUGUACCUUCUACCCGAAUGUUGAGGGGUAACAACUGUUCCAGAAACUGGUGGUGUGUGUGCUGAGGUUCCUGUACCUCUUUCCUGAUGUUUGAUGGAUAAUAACUGUCCCUGUACCUGGUGGUGUGAGUCCUGAGGCUUCUCUUCCUCCUUCCUGAUGGAUGAGGGUUAGUAUCCGGUCCUGAACCCGAUGCUGUGAAUUGCGAUGCUCCUGUACCCGCAUCCUGCUGGCUGAGUUGAAAUAACCUUUGCUGAACUAAGGGGUGUGUGUCUUCUGGACCGAUAUCUGCAGUGAACGAUUCUGCGAAAAAUGGAUGGUUGCAGGGUAAUCUCCAUUCAGUGAAUGUACCCGAGACAAUCUAUAUCAGUAAUGACAUGAUGUCUCUCUGAAGGUUUAGAAUUUCUUUGCAAACAAUACUCAAACGGUCACUCACUGUUCCUUGCUCCCCAAUUACAGAACAAACUUGUUGCCAGGGAUGGAUCAACAGGAAAGGCGCUCAUAUUAUCUCAUAUCAACGGUGGCAAAACAUCACGAUGAGGCGAAGAAAGAAUGUUCAAACAAUGUUUCAAAGCUGCUGGAAAUGAGCUCAAUCGAGGAAGAGGGAGGUGUGAUCUGCAUAGAAGAGAUGGAAGAUUCAGAAUUCGAGAGCAGACAGCGGAAUCAAUAUGGAGACAAAUGUUCAGAAGACAGAAAAAUGCCUUUAAUCAGAAAACGUCCUUAAUCAAAGGGAAUGUGAGGGAGAGCAGAGGCGAGCUGUCGUGACAGGAGAUUCGUUAAUACGGGUAACAAACGGAGGCAUUUUGGAAGAGAACGACAGUCCUGGAUG